GCUGUUAAAGACUGGAAUUGAGGCUCAUUGGCCCUGCCCACCCUUGAACCAGUCACUGGGGCAUGGGAGGGAGGGUUAGCCCCAGAGAACAUCUUGAACUCCGACUGGAUGGAAAAUCAGGUGCUUCUACCAGCACAAGGGGAAGUCAGGCAGCCACAGCCCAUGUCCACUUCGACUUCGGCCUCACGGUCCCAGUGACCUGCCGAGUGGGAAGAGCCGUGGCUGGCCGGCCUCCCAGUGGCGACGACGACCUCGCUGUGUUCGUGGCAGCGGCACUCUCAAAUCUGGGCACGGUGAUGGGAAGGUUAUUUGUUGGAAUC
rnacentral:lncRNA from 1 species